CUGAUAUCUAGGUGUAACUACAGAAAGAAAAAUGGUGUGUCAUUCACCAAAAAUCAGAAUGGACAAGUUAAAAAAAGGAUCCGAUACCCUAAAAGAUCAGUGGGCAUCUCCAGAUAUACAAGAUAUGUGGGAAAUGAAUCUUAGCUCUCUCAGAGAAAAGAUCACACGCUGUCUGAAUGAAUACCUCACUAUUUGAACGUGUGGCUUAUCACCGAAAUAUUGAAGCACGUCUUAAGAGCCUUCCUAAAGAAAGCGUACAGAGGUCUGUGAAGUUCUGGUGGAAGAAUAGUGUUCUCCACAAUAUCAUUUACAGCGUGAACAGUGCUUCAGCCUUAAAUGCAGCCAACUGGGAAAUUGGGCUGAAAAGGAAACAGAGAAAACCCAGCUGUGAUGGUUAAUUUUACAUGUCAACUAAGGGAUCACAG
ensembl:lncRNA